CUCUAAGAGCAUGUACACCAGAAUAGCCAAACUAGGCAUUUGAGCUAUUUUAGCUACCAAAAUAAGAGAGAGGCUCCCACACCAUCCUCUGUUAAUACAUCGGUAUAUUAGAGCAUCCUUCUGACCUCGCUUCUUCUACAGAGGAACUGUUCAUGAGCAAUCCAAUAUUCUAUCAAUUUAUUCUCCCGCGCUUCACUUCUCCAGCGAUGAUUUUCUCCCGCCUACUCCUGCCUUUUCUCCCUCUCUCUCUCUCUCUCUCUCUCUCUCUCUCUUUGUGGUAAGAUUUCCUUUCAUCCCUGGAUUUCUUCUCUCGUUUUAUGUCGGGUUUGCAUCUCAGGUAUGAAAUCCCUAACUUUUAUUGUAUUUUUUUUUUGUAUGUGUUUGAUAGAGAAAUUAGUGUACAAUGAAUCCAUGAUCAUAGUUAGGGCUUAAAAUCUUGUACGAAACAACAUGAAAAUCUGCAUUCAGAUCACUAAGAGAAAACAUGAAACCCUAUAUAACCAAACCGUUCAACUGAGCGAUUGACAUAGAUGAGUGCAAGAGACGCAAUUCUCUAAUUUUUGUGCAUAAUACCUGCUACUGUUUUUUCCUUGGAUAAGAUUGGAGCUUUUGUUGGGAGUCAUGUUGAUGAACAAAAUUGUUGAAGAAAACUGUUCACUAACUGUUCGAUAAAUUUACUGAGUGAGUUUUAAGGGACGCGAGUUUUAAGCAUGGGGUUGGGAGUUCGAUUCUUGGCCUCUUCACUUUUUAGUUAGCAGUUCGUAACUCUGAUCGAUCCUAACCAGGGACUUGCAUCUCCUAGUUCUCUGUUCCUAAUGAUUGGCAGGCCUCUCC